rnacentral:rRNA from 1 species
GGGGCAGCACGAUGUAGCAAUACGUUGGUGGCGACCGGCGCACGGGUGAGUAACGCGUAUGUAACCUACCCUGUACAGGGAGAUAGCCCGGAGAAAUUCGGAUUAAUAUCCCAUAAUAAUAUUAUGAGGCAUCUUGUGAUAUUUAAAGUUACGACGGUACAGGAUGGGCAUGCGUAACAUUAGCUAGUUGGUAGGGUAACGGCCUACCAAGGCGACGAUGUUUAGGGGUCCUGAGAGGGUGAUCCCCCACACUGGUACUGAGACACGGACCAGACUCCUACGGGAGGCAGCAGUGAGGAAUAUUGGUCAAUGGGCGCAAGCCUGAACCAGCCAUCCCGCGUGAAGGAAGACUGCCCUAUGGGUUGUAAACUUCUUUUCCGGAGGAAUAAAAUACCGAACGAGUUCGGGACUGAAGGUACUCCGGGAAUAAGCAUCGGCUAACUCCGUGCCAGCAGCCGCGGUAAUACGGAGGAUGCGAGCGUUAUCCGGAUUUAUUGGGUUUAAAGGGUGCGUAGGCGGAUUAAUAAGUCAGUGGUGAAAACCUUCAGCUUAACUGGAGACUUGCCAUUGAUACUGUUAGUCUUGAGUACGGUCA